CAUGGGACCAAAUUGGUUGUUCCAGGUUUCCAUGCUGAUGGACAUGACUUGCCAUGUCAGGUACUUGAACAGGAUCAUUAAUAUUAUCAAUGAAAUUCAACACCCGAUAUGUGGAAGGUGCUGGACUGGCAGAUGGGGAGCAGAUGGAGAGGCUGUGGUCGUAUCUGAGGCGCUUUGGGAAGGUCACCAAAGAAAUGAGGCCGUCCCAUCUUAUUGACCUCCUGACUGAUGCACUUCUCCACCAUGGGAAAACGCCAGAGGCUACUGGACUCUCUGCCAUAGAGGGUUUCCCCAGCAACAGAAGUUGCAACAGAGGCAAA